rnacentral:rRNA from 1 species
GACGAACGCUGGCGGCGUGCCUAAUACAUGCAAGUCGAACGCAGUUUCGAACGGGUGAGUAACGCGUAGGUUACUGCCCCAUUGCGGGGGAUAAAUAUUGGGAACGAUAGCUAAUACCCCACACUGUGAGAUGGACCUGCGUUGUAUUAGGUAGUUGGUGGGGUAAAGGCUCACCAAGGCGACGAUACAUAGCCGACCUGAGAGGGUGAACGGCCACACUGGGACUGAGACACGGCCCAGACUCCUACGGGAGGCAGCAGUAGGGAAUCUUCGGCAAUGGACGGAAGUCUGACCGAGCAACGCCGCGUGAGUGAAGAAGGUUUUCGGGUCGUAAAGCUCUGUUGAUAGGGAAGCGGUAACGAACCAGAAAGCGACGGCUAACUACGUGCCAGCAGCCGCGGUAAUAC